CUAUUUGACUUUUUUAUUCAGUGAAAAAUGAUUUAAAAUAAAAUUUUUAUAUAAUUAUUACUUUUCACUUAGGGUGUAUUUGGUUCGAAGUCGGAAUCUGAAUUAGAACCGGAAUCGAAAUAAGCCGGAAUCAGAAUCAGAAUAACUCAUUACCAAUUCUGUUUGGUUCAUCAGCUGAAUCAGAAUCGGAAUAAACCAUUCCUAUUGACAGUGUUUCGUUCAAGUAAAUAUAAAAAAUGUAAUCAAAUUAAUAUACUAAAUUUAUCUUUAUAAUAUAUUAAUUUAAAUUCAAAUUAAAAAUUAAAUAUUAAAAUUAUACAUCAAAAUUUUAAAUCUAUUUUUAUAAAAAAAUUUAAACUUUGAAGUUGAGUGGAUAAUUCAAAAUAUAAAAAUAAAUUUUGAUUUAUUCAAAUUCAAACUUAAAAUUACAAUUUAAAUUUUAAUGAAUCCAUAAAUUUAAUUUAAGUUUUAAAUAAAAUUU
rnacentral:lncRNA from 1 species